rnacentral:rRNA from 1 species
GAUGAACGCUGGCGGCGUGCUUAACACAUGCAAGUCGAACGGAACUACUCCAAUGAGAGUCUUCGGAAAGGAUUUGGUUUAGUUUAGUGGCGGACGGGUGAGUAACGCGUGGGUAACCUGCCCUAUACAGGGGGAUAACAGUUGGAAACGACUGUUAAUACCGCAUAAGCGCACAGGAGCGCAUGCUCCGGUGUGAAAAACUCCGGUGGUAUAGGAUGGACCCGCGUCUGAUUAGCUGGUUGGCGGGGUAACGGCCCACCAAGGCGACGAUCAGUAGCCGGCCUGAGAGGGUGAACGGCCACAUUGGGACUGAGACACGGCCCAAACUCCUACGGGAGGCAGCAGUGGGGAAUAUUGCACAAUGGGGGAAACCCUGAUGCAGCGACGCCGCGUGAGCGAAGAAGUAUCUCGGUAUGUGAAGCUCUAUCAGCAGGGAAGAAAAUGACGGUACCUGACUAAGAAGCCCCGGCUAACUACGUG